rnacentral:rRNA from 1 species
GACGAACGCUGGCGGCGUGCUUAACACAUGCAAGUCGAACGGAAAGGCCCUUCGGGGUACUCGAGUGGCGAACGGGUGAGUAACACGUGGGUGAUCUGCCCUGCACUUCGGGAUAAGCCUGGGAAACUGGGUCUAAUACCGGAUAUGAUCAUCGGCUUCAUGGUCGGUGGUGGAAAGCUUUUGCGGUGUGGGAUGGGCCCGCGGCCUAUCAGCUUGUUGGUGGGGUAAUGGCCUACCAAGGCGUCGACGGGUAGCCGGCCUGAGAGGGUGUCCGGCCACACUGGGACUGAGAUACGGCCCAGACUCCUACGGGAGGCAGCAGUGGGGAAUAUUGCACAAUGGGCGCAAGCCUGAUGCAGCGACGCCGCGUGGGGGAUGACGGCCUUCGGGUUGUAAACCUCUUUCAGCACAGACGAAGCGCAAGUGACGGUAUGUGCAGAAGAAGCACCGGCCAACUACGUGCCAGCAGCCGCCGUAACAC